CUGAUGGCGACCGGCGCACGGGUGAGUAACACGUAUCCAACCUGCCGAUGACUCGGGGAUAGCCUUUCGAAAGAAAGAUUAAUACCCGAUGGCAUAGUUCUUCCGCAUGGUGGAACUAUUAAAGAAUUUCGGUCAUCGAUGGGGAUGCGUUCCAUUAGGUUGUUGGCGGGGUAACGGCCCACCAAGCCUUCGAUGGAUAGGGGUUCUGAGAGGAAGGUCCCCCACAUUGGAACUGAGACACGGUCCAAACUCCUACGGGAGGCAGCAUG
rnacentral:rRNA from 1 species